rnacentral:rRNA from 1 species
GACGAACGCUGGCGGCGUGCUUAACACAUGCAAGUCGAACGAUGAAGCCGGAGCUUGCUCUGGUGAAUUAGUGGCGAACGGGUGAGUAACACGUGAGUAACCUGCCCUUUACUCUGGGAUAACUGCGGGAAACUGUAGCUAAUACCGGAUACGACCCUCGGAGGCAUCUCCUGGGGGUGGAAAGAAUUUCGGUCAAGGAUGGACUCGCGGCCUAGCAGCUAGUUGGUGAGGUAAAGGCUCACCAAGGCGACAACGGGUAGCCGGCCUGAGAGGGUGACCGGCCACACUGGGACUGAGACACGGCCCAGACUCCUACGGGAGGCAGCAGUGGGGAAUAUUGCACAAUGGGCGCAAGCCUGAUGCAGCAACGCCGCGUGAGGGAUGACGGCCUUCGGGUUGUAAACCUCUUUUAGCAGGGAAGAAGCGAAAGUGACGGUACCUGCAGAAAAAGCACCGGCUAACUACGUGCCAGCCGCCGCGGUAA